CCCGCGGUGUGGCCCUCUCCCUCUCUGCACAAUGUUCAAUGAGUGGGCGCGCUUUCUUCACCACUCACCUCCGGGCCACCAGGGGCCGCUCCCGAGCUAGGCAGGUCCGAGUGUUGCUGGUUCCCUGUGCUGCUACCAAAGUGGGUGGCUGCCGAGUGCGGGCUCAGUCUUCCUGGUCCCUGUUUUCCUCCUCCACAGCCUGAGACCUAAAGCAGCCUCCCUCUGGCUGGGGCUGCCGCAGCACAGCCUUCUCGGCUCCCCCAGUCUGCGAAGUGCUGACCAGAUCCCGGCCCUGGCCCCGUGCCAACAGCAGCUCCCGCAGCUCCUCCCCGGCAAAGGACAUGGAUGACGGCAAAGUGAGCAUGGCCAUGAAGAGGCCCCCAGACUAUCCAGGGCCCCCGUUCCUGAGAGGCCCCAUGCCGCCCCCCCGUGGGCUAUGGGCCGCCGCAGCCACCACCACCCUCAGGCCCUUCAGGCCUCGGCCGAUGCCUCGUAGGCCAGCGCCACCAUUCGUUACGUCCCUUGCAGGGGCCCACCACUGGGCUUAAGAGAGUACGUGCCCGGCAUCCAACCCAGAUGCCGCAACCUGCCGCUGCACCCCGGCCAGUUCUUGCCAGGACCUGUGCCAUUUAGGCCUCCAGGCCCGCUCAGCCCCUGAGAGUAUUUCAUUCCUGCUCCUGAAUGCCACCACCGCCUGCUGGGCCCAGGACUACCCACUGCUGCCUGCCACAGGGGAGCCCCAGCUCUCAGGGCUGAGAGAGGCCUCAGCCUCACCACUAAGCAGCCAGGAACCUGCCCAGGCUUGAGGCAGAGCCCUUAAUGGCCCCACUACUCACAGGGCCAAGGUUUUUAUUGGAUUUGGAAUUCUUUUUAAAAGGAAGUUCGUUUUAGUAGGUUUUUAGUAUUAAGCUCCUGGUCCUCACUUCCUUUGGUUUGAUGUUGCUGAGACCUAAAAACAUAAACCUGGAAACCCACUAUUAAAAUGUAGCCCAA
rnacentral:lncRNA from 1 species